AUGACAAGGCCAAAAUCUUGUCGAGGUCUCGGCUUUCGAGAUAUUGAACUCUUUAAACUUGCCUUGCUAGGCCGUCAGGCUUGGCGCAUAUUGAUGGACCCAUCUUUUCUAAGCGUGAGAACACUAAAGGCUAAAUACUUUCCUACUUCAGAUUUUCUUAAUGCUGAGCUUGGGAAUUCCCCUUCGCAAAUCUGGCGAUAGAUAUUGGAUGGUAGGGGCACCAUGAAACAGGGCCUUACAAGCAGAGUAGAGGACAGGACAUCCACGCCGAUCUGGCAGCAUAACUGGAUUCCCCGGGACAUUAAUAUGUGGCCCAUUGUAAGUAAUAUACUGGACCCGCCCCAAGUGGUGGCCGAACUGAUCAUAGUGGAUGCAUCGUGGGACAUGGACAAGCUAGCUCAAACUUUCCUGCCUACAUAUGUACAAGCUAUUGCUUAUAUUCCCCUAUGCACAUGUCAGGUGGAUGAUUUCUGGUCUUGGACCUAUGUGAAGAGCGGGUUUUUUUCCAGUUCGCUCGGUCUAUAG
rnacentral:rRNA from 1 species